rnacentral:rRNA from 1 species
UACGUAGGGGGCAAGCGUUGUCCGGAUUUAUUGGGCGUAAAGAGCGUGUAGGCGGCCAUGUAGGUCCGUUGUGAAAACUCGAGGCUCAACCUCGAGACGCCGAUGGAAACCAUGUGGCUAGAGUCCGGAAGAGGAGAGUGGAAUUCCUGGUGUAGCGGUGAAAUGCGUAGAGAUCGGGAGGAACACCUGUGGCGAAGGCGGCCCCCUGGGCCGGCCCUGACACUGAGACGCGAAGGCGUGGGGAGCGAACGGG